GACGAACGCUGGCGGCGUGCUUAACACAUGCAAGUCGAACGGAAAGGCCCUGCUUUUGUGGGGUGCUCGAGUGGCGAACGGGUGAGUAACACGUGAGUAACCUGCCCUUGACUUUGGGAUAACUUCAGGAAACUGGGGCUAAUACAGGAUAGGAGCUCCUGCUGCAUGGUGGGGGUUGGAAAGUUUCGGCGGUUGGGGCUGGACUCGCGGCUUAUCAGCUUGUUGGUGGGGUAGUGGCUUACCAAGGCUUUGACGGGUAGCCGGCCUGAGAGGGUGACCAGCCACAUUGGUACUGAGAUACGGCCCAGACGCCUACGGGAGGCAGCAGUGGGGAAUAUUGCACAAUGGGCGGAAGCCUGAUGCAGCAACGCCGCGUGCGGGAUGACGGCCUUCGGGUUGUAAACCGCUUUCGCCUGUGACGAAGCGUGAGUGACGGUAAUGGGUAAAGAAGCACCGGCUAACUACGUG
rnacentral:rRNA from 1 species